GAGGGUAUAGCUUAGUGGUAAAGUGCGUGCUUAGCAUGCAUGAGGUCCUGGAUUCAUUCACCAGUACCUCUG
rnacentral:tRNA from 1 species